UGUCUCUGUAGCUCAGUAGGAUAGAGCAACUGCCUCCUAAGCAGUAGGUCGGAGGUUCGAAUCCUCUCAGGGACGG
rnacentral:tRNA from 1 species